CAGCUGACAUCGCAAGCCGGCCAUCACCAGUGGCAGCGCAGGCCCCGCCUUGGUCUGCGCCAGGUAGGAGACAGCGGCCUCGUCUGCAUCGGGUCACACAGCUCCAGCUGACAUCGCAAGCCGUCCAUCAUCACCGAGCGGCAGACUAUUUUCAGAACAAGAAACAACGAACUGUACAUCAGUUAGAGGACAAGCUGAUUAAACCGUUUAAAUACCGUACCAGCAUAAAACAACAAAAUACUGGAAAUAUCCUGAGGAAGGAUCUCGGCCUGAAACAUCGACUGUACCUUUUCCAUAGACGCUGCCUGAUCUGAUGAGUUCCUCCAGCAUUUUUGUGUGCUGCUUGGAUUUCCAGCAUCUGCAGAUUUCCUCUUGUUUGUGAAAAUACUGAAAGUACUCCGGUCAGAGAGCGGUGGUGGAGAGAUCAUUUCAGGUCGAUGCAUUUAACCUUAAAUCAACCUAACUUUCUAUAUAUGUUAUUUAUUUUAUCAAUCAAGUUCUCGAAGUGACACCAGAGAUAACAACAAGUAUUAAAGACUGUGUCGUUACUUUGAAUAGUUAAAUGAACACAAAAGGUUCAGCCACAUUCUAUUUAAAAUAUGCUUGAUUUACAUUUGGCAACGGAGUUCUUAAUGAGUCUCGAGUGCAAUCACCGGAUCACAAAAUAAACUCCAAUAUUUAUUAAAAUCUGCAUAACGUAAGUCAGAGAUAGAAACUCCGCCUUUAACAUGCGGUAUUUAAAUCAAUGCUUAUCCAGACUUUACUUCUAUUUCUCAGGUAUAAAAUAAAGGUGUUAACUAGCGACACGAGAGGUAAGACUUGUAUUGCAUUCAAUACUGCCCAUCAGAACCUCUGGCCGUUUUUGUCGCUAUUUAGUUCCAGUACUUUGCGCUGGUUCUGGCUUACACAUUGGGCUACAAUUUCCUUCCCACGGUUAUUUUUAAAACGAUCAAGAAUCCACUGGCGGAGGAAUGCCGUUUAUUUUUUCUUCUGUCCCAGUAAAUAAUAUCAUCAGCAAACUUGUGUUUCGUCGCAUAGUCCCAAAAGGCGAAAGAAGCACCUGAACAGUCUUUCGGUGGAGUUGGGUUGAGAAUCGCUGCUGGCAAGUAGAAAACCCGGCAACCACGUUCUCCGACUAAACUGUCGUAUUUUAUUACGUUGGUUGAGAUGGAGAGCACGCUUAUUUUUCCUGUUCUUUUUUUGCAGUCUUCCCAAUUAUAUAUCCUGGGCUUCACUAUGCACCUCUAUCAAUGCAUCGCGCCUCCUCCUUUCGUUCUCGGUAUUCCCAGCCUUCUAAAGUGAAGUGACAACCAUUGCAAUAAAUUGAUUGUUUUAUUAUAAAAGUGAGAGCUAUUAUAUAGCAGGUGGUUUAGCUGUAGUCGCUUCAGUAGUCUGUUGAUUUCAAAAAAGGUGCGUGCAGAUUGUUUACAAACCUAAGUAGAUUACUGUACAAAUAAUCAUUAUGUCUGCAGAACGAAAAAGUGACGAAUUCCCUUUAACGUGCAAGAUUGGUUUUAAACAAUGAAACGGUUGUCUUGCUGUUUAGUUUACCGCUGUCGCCGUUCACAUCGAUAGAUUGCGAACAACAGCAUCGUCUUGUUUGACUGUAGAUAGAAAGGAGUAUUCUCCUGAGCAGGUCCGAAACCCUUGCUGCAAAAGGAGCUGGAUUUCUUUCCAAAAAUCAGAUUUGUUUUCCUAAUUGCAGCAUUUUUAAAUUCAAUCAUUUGUUUCUCAGUAAAAUCUAUAAUGAAUGAAUGAAUUAAUAAAUUAAUUCAUCUAUAAUUAUUCAAUCACUCUUCCAGCUGCUUUGUAGAGAUUUGUUGGCUUGUUAAUUAGUUCCUGCUUCCUUAUUGCCAAAAUCCCUCAAGCAGUGUCACUGUUGCCUCCAGAAUUCAGGAGCUCGCUGGCAAAAAGAAAGUCAUUGUGCCUUUUAAGAAAAUGUGUUUCCAUACUGAUUGGAAAAAACAGAAAAUGUUCCUAGUAUAUAGAGUUGGGCAGUAGAAUGUGGAUGAAUAAAGAAGGUGGCAGAAACUAAAUGGGAUUACUGUGGGAUAGUGUAAAAGUGUGUUUGACGGUAGAUGCCGACUCAGUGAUUUGUUUAAGUGUGGUGCGACUUUAUGACACCAUGAGAUGAAGUCAGUUACUGUCUGGGACACAACAAAGUCUGAUAUUCAUUAGAAGGAGCAUGGUCCAGAGGAAGCUUUGAGGGGGUAUCAGAGAACUAGCAUUCAGCUUCUGUGGCACAGGGAUCAGUUCACAAACAAUAACAAUAUAGCUCUAUUGUAAGAAUACAAGAAUUAUGAGAGGAAUUGGGUCAUCUGUGCUCCAUGUCUGUUCCACCAUUCAUCAUGAUCUUUUGUUCCUCAUCAUCCUAGUGUCCUAUUCUUUCCAUUAAUAUCUAGAAAUCUGGUCAAAAUGCUGCUGAACUGUAAUCGUGGUUCAUACCUAGUUGUAUUUUUAAGUUCAUUGGGAUGGUUUUGGAGACAGAGAGGGGAGUUAGGGAUUAGGGAUGGGAACAUAGGGGAGUUAAAAGUCAAAUUAGAGUUUAGGGAAGGCAAUGUUGAGGAGUUCCGGGUUAGGCUGGAGUUUAGGACUCCGUUCUACACUCUGUGUUCGAAGGCUAGCAAUGUGGGCAUGGAACAAAGAAUGUCAAAGUCCAGACCUCCACUCCAUGCUCAAUGGUCAUUGAUGUGGAUAUGUGAUGAAGGACAUCGUGGAUUGGCAAGUAUGACAUUGAGGCCAUCUCUGAAACUUGGCUAAAGGAUGGCUGCCAUUGGGAGCUGAAUGUCCAAUGAUAUACGGCAUAUUGGAAAGAUAGGUUAGUAGGCAGAGGGGGUGGUGCGGCCCUGGGUAUAAGACAUAAUAUUAAAUCAUUAGAAAGGGAUGACAUAGGAUCGGAAGGUGUAGAGUCUCUAUGGGUUGAGUUAAGAAAUGGCAAGGGUAAAAGGACCCUAAUGGCAGUUGUAUACAGGCCUCCAAACAGGAGCCAGGGUGUGGAUUACAAAUUACAGCAGGAGAUAAAGGUGUGUCAAAAGUGCAAUGUCAUGAUAAUCCUUGGGGAUUUUAAUGUGAAAGUGGAUUGGGAAAACCAUGCCAGUACUGGACCUCAAGAGAAAGAAUUUAUAGUAAGCACAAAGUACACUGCAGAUGCUGUGGUCAAAUCAACACGUACAAAAGCUGGAUGAACUCAGCAGGUUGGGCAGCAUCUGUUGAAAGGAGCAGUCAACGUUUCGGGCCAAGACCCUUCAUCAGGAGUCCUCUUUUGCACAUGUUGAAAUAAUUUAUGGAAUGUCCAAGGGAUGGCUUUUUAAAAUGGCUUGUUGUUGAACCCACUAGGGGAAUCGGCUGUGCUGGAUUGAGUGUUCUGCAAUGAUCCAGAGGUGAUAAGAAAGCUUACGGUGAAGGAAACCCUUUGGGAACAGUGAUCACAAUAUCAUCAAGUUCACUUUGAAAUUUGAGAAGGUGAAACUAAAUUCCAAUGUGUCGGUAUUUCAGUGGAAUAAAGGAAAUUACAAUGUCAUGAGAGGGGAACUGGUCAAGGUUGACUGGAAAGGGACAUUUGCAGGAAGGACAGAAGAAAAGCAAUGGCUGGAGUUUCUGUGAAAAAUGAGUAAGUGCAAGACAGAUAUAUUCCAAAUAAGAAGAAAUUUUCGAAUGGAAGAAGGACACUGUCAUGGCUGACAAAUGAAGUCAGGGCCAAAGUAAUAGCAAAAGAGAGGGCAUACAAGGAAGCCAAAGCUAGUGGGAAGAUAGAGGAUUGGGAAGCUUUUAAAAACUAUCAAAAGGAAACUCAGAAGGUCAUUAGGAAUGAAAAGAUGAAUUAUGAAUGGAAGCUGGUGACUAAUAUCAAAAAAGAUACUAAAAGUAUAUUUUUAAGUAUAUUUUUUAAGUAUAUAAAGGGUAAAAGAGAGUUGAGGGUAGAUACUGUAUAGGACCAAUAGAAAAUGAUGCUGGAGAUGUUGUAAUGAGAGCUGCAGAGAUGGCAGAGGUACUGAAUGCAUAUUUUGCAUCAGUCUUCACAGUGGAAGACAUCUGCAUAUACCGGACAUUCAACAGUGUCAGAGAAGUGAAGUUUGUGCAGUGAAAAUUAUGACUGAGAAGGUGCUCAGGAAGCUUAAAGGUCUGAGGGUGGAUAAAUCUCCUGGACCUUAUGAAAUGCACCUUAGGGUUCUGAAGGAAGUAGCUGGAGAGAUUGAGGAGACAUUAACAAUGAUCUUUCAAGAAUUGAUAGAUUCUGGCAAUGUGCCAGAUGACUGGAAAAUUGCAAAUGUUACUCUGCUAUUUAAGAAGGGUGGGAGGCAGCAGAAAGAAACUAUAGACCUGUUAGCCUGACAUCAGUGGUUGGGAAGUUGUUGGAAUGGAUUGUUAGGGAUGAGAUUACAGAGUACCUGGAGGCACAUGACAAGAUAGGCCAAAGCCAGCAUGGUUUCCUGAAAUUUUUUGAGGAAAUCACAAGCAGGGUAGACAAAGGAGAUUAAUAGAUGUGGUGUCCUUGGAGUUUCAGAAGGCCUUUGAUAAGGUGCUGCACAUGAAGCUGCUUAGUAAGAUAAGAGCCCAUGGAAUUACAAGGAAGUUACUAGUAUGGGUGGAGCUGAUCGGCAGAAAACAGAAAGUGGGAAUAAAGGGAUCCUAUUCUGGCUGGCUUCCUAGUGGAAUUCCACAGGGGUCGGUGUUGGGACCGCUGCUAUUUACGAUGUAUGUUAAUGAUUUGGAUUAUAGGGUUAAUGGAUUUGUGGCUAAAUUUGCUGAUGAUACAAAGAUAGAUGGAGAAGCAGGUAGUGUUGAGGAAACAGAUCCUGCAGAGAGACUUAGAUAGUUUAGGGGAAUGGGCAAAGAAAUAGCAAAUGAAAUACAAUGUUGGAAAGUGUAUGGUCAUGAACAUUGGUGGAAGAAUUAAAUGGGCAGACUAUCAUCUAGAUGGGGAGAGAAUUCAAAAUGCAGAGAUGCAAAGGGACUUGGGAGUCCUAGUGCAGGACACCCUAAAGUUUAACCUCCAGGUUGAGUUGGUGGUGCAGAAGGCAAAUGCAAUGUUGGCAUUCAUUUCUAGAAGUAUAGAAUAUAAGGGCAAGGACUUGAUGUUGAGGCUGUAUAAGGCACUUGUGAGACCACACUUCGACUAUUGAGUGCAGUUUUGGGCUUAUUUUGUAAAGGAUAUAUGACAUUGGAGAGGGUUCAGGGAAGAUUCAGAAGAAUGAUUCCAGGAAUGAAAGGGUUACUGUAAGAGGAACAUCUGGCAGCUCUUGGGGUGUAUUCCCUAGAGUUCAUGAGGGGGGAUCGCAUUGAAGCUUUCUGAAUGUUAAAAGGCCUGAACAGAUUAGAUAUAGCAAAGUUAUUUCCCAUUCUAGGGGAGUCUAGGACAAGACGGCACAACUUCAGGAUUGAAGGACGCCCCUUUAGAACUGAGAUGCGGAAAAAUUACUUUAGUCAGAGGGUGGUAAAUCUGUGGAAUUCGUUGUCACCAGCGGCUAUGGAGGUCAAAUCAUUGGGUGCAUUUAAGGUAGAGAUAGAUAGGUUCUUGAUUAGACAGGGCAUCAAAUGGUAUGGGGAGAAAGCAGGGGAGUGGGAAUGACUGGAAGAAUUGGAUCAGCCCAUGAUUGAAAGGUGGAGCAGACUCGAUGAGCAGAAUGGCCUACAGCUGCUCCUAUAUGUUAUGGUCUUAUGGAUGCUGGGCUGUCCCAGAUUGGUGGGUCCUGGGAUUGGAUGUCCAUGUGAACAGAAGGCAUGAGGGUCAAUGAGUCAGCAAGCCCGGAGUUUGGGAUCUCAUCUUCGGCUAAUUCAGGGGUCGAUACUGAAGCUCAAAGCUUGAAGAUCAAUUGCAAGCCAAAGCCUGAUGGCUGGCCUGGAGAUGGAUGCCGCUUUCUGUGGUGGGAGGACUCUCAAUGUGUAUGGGUGCGUGGGAGGGAGAAAAGGAACUUAUUUUGGUGGUGUUUUGUUGCUUGUAUUCUGUGUUGUUCUGCUGAACAUUGUGCGCAUGCUAUGUUAGCACCAAAAUGCAUCAACUUCAAGUGCAAAAGCUUGUGCACUGGAUCCAGCACACCCUAGGGUUGUGUUGGUUAUUAAUGCAAAUGCUGCAUUUCACUGUAUGUUUCAAUAUGCAUGAUAAAUAAAUGAAUCUGAAUCAGAAUUUUACAGUCUCUUUUCUGAAAGAGCUCUGUAUCCUAGCACCCAGAGUGGAAAGUUCUAAUGAUUCAUCAUCCGGCAGGAUGAACAGAAGCCCGAAAUCCCCAUACCACCAGGCUGAAGAACACCCUACUCCCUUCAAUCAUGUAGCUCUUGAGUCAACUAGCACAAUCCUACUCACAAUGGUAGAACAACACUCUGACCACUAUAAUCUUUUUGCACUAAAAUGUUUUUUUUGUGUUCUUAUUUAUUUUUUUAUUGGCAUAGAGUGUGGAAUAGGCCCUAUCGGCCCUUCAAACCAUACUGCCCAGCAGCCCUCAAUUUAACCCAAGCCUAAUCAUGGAAUGACUUACAAUGACUAAUCAAUCUACUAACAGGUACAUCUUUGGACUGUGGGAGGAAACCAGAGCACCCAGAGAAAACCAAAGCAUUCCAUGGGGAGGACCUACAGACUCCUUACAGAUGACAUUGAAAUUGAGUUCCAACCUCCUAUGCCCCAAGCUGUAUUAGAGCACUGUGGAGCUAAUUGUGUCCUUUAUCAUAAAAUUCUUUAAUGUAGUUUUUGUGAAUGCUGAUAAUGGCUUUGAUUCUACUGCAAGUAAGUUUUUCAUUAUAUCAGUGCACAUUAUUUACUUCUGCAUGAGGCAAUAAGCUAACCUUUGGUUUUGAGUGAAUACAUUACAUGUCAUUUCAGUCCUAAAGGGUUUAGCUUUCUCUUGACACAGUGACCAACAGAUAUAUACCCACAGCCAAGAGAAAAAUGCUCUUUGCAUCCUACUGAUUGAGCCAUGAAAGAGUUGCACACUUUUUUAAUGAGGUCCAUUCUUCUAACAAACUCCAGAGAAUACAGACCUAUUCUCCUCCAUUUCCCAACACCCCAAGAACCAAUCUGGUGAAACUCCAUAGUUCAAAGUAAAAUUUAUUAUUGGAUUACAUUCAUGACACCACAUACAACCUACAGAAUCUUUUUCUGUGGGCAUACUUAGCAAAUCCAUAGAACAGUAAUUGUAAACAGGAUCAAUGGACAACAAACUGUGCAAAUGCAAAUAUAAAUAAAUAGCAAUAAAUAACAAGAGCAUUAACUGACAAGAUAAAGCAUUCUUAAAGUGAGACCAUUGGUUGUGGGAACACCAGAAAUAGAAUGAGUGUAGGUAUCCCCUUUUGUUCCAAAGUCUGAUGGUUGAGGAGUAGUAACUGUUCCUGAGCCUGGUGGUGUGAGACCUGAGGCACUUGUUCCUUUUGCCUAAUGGCUGCAGUGAGAAAAGAGCAUGGCCUGGGUAAGGAUCUUUGAUGAUGGAUGCUGCUUUUCUACGGCAACAUGUCAUGUAAAUGUACUCAGUGGUUGGAAGGGUUUUAUCCAUGAUGUAUUGGGCCGAAUCCAUUAUCCACUACUAUGCCUUCUGCUCAAAGGGACUGGUAUUCCCAUAUCAGGCCAUGAUGCAGGAUGUCAGCACUUUUUCCACUACACAUCUAUAGAAGUUUGCCAACGUGCAGGUUCUUGCAAUUUAUUGCUAUUAUUUAUAUUUGCAUUUGCACAGUUUAUUGUCUUCUGAACUCUGGUUGAUCUUUCAUUGAUCCUGUUAUAGUUGCUAUUCUAGAGAUUUAUUGAGUAUGCCCACAAAACAUGAAUCUCAGGGUUGUAUAUGGUGACAUGUAUGAACUUUGAUAAUAAAAUUUACUUUGAACUUUGAA